CCUGGAGGCAGGACGGCUACUCUGCCGCAAGGUAGAGAGGAAAGUCCAGACAGCAGAAGGCGGGGUGUCCCGUGUAAGCGGGAACGCGUAAGCGCUAGUUAGAGCAACAGUGACGAACCGGGGUAAUGCUCGGGUGAAACGGGCAAUCCUCCCCGCUGCAACCUCCGAACUGGGUGGGUCGCCUUCCCCUAUACCCAAAAGCUUGAGGGCACUAGAUAGAUGCCGUCAAAACAGAAUCUGGCUUAUUCGCCUCCAGG
rnacentral:RNase_P_RNA from 2 species